rnacentral:rRNA from 1 species
AACGAACGCUGGCGGCGUGGAUUAGGCAUGCAAGUCGAACGAGAAUCUGGAGGUUCAAGUUUUCGGACAAGAAACUUUCGGAGGAAAGUGGCGGAAGGGUGAGUACAACAUGGAUAAUCUACCUUCAAGUUGGGUAUAGCUUCCCGAAAGGGGAGAUAAUCCCGAAUGUGGUGAUCCGGCGCCUGUCGGAGAAUCCAAAGGUGGGGACCGCAAGGCCUGCCGCUUGAAGAUGAGUCCGUGCACUAUCAGCUAGUUGGUGAGGUAAUGGCUCACCAAGGCGAUGACGGUUAGCUGGUCUGAGAGGAUGGUCAGCCACACUGGGACUGAGAUACUGCCCAGACUCCUACGGGAGGCUGCAGUCGAGAAUCAUUCGCAAUGGGCGCAAGCCUGACGGUGCGACGUCGCGUGGAGAUGAAGGUCUUCGGAUUGUAAACUCCUGUCAUGUGGGAUAAAUGGCCAGGGCAUGAAUAGUGCCUUGG